rnacentral:rRNA from 1 species
AAUGAACGUUGGCGGCGUGGAUUAGGCAUGCAAGUCGAGCGGAAAGGCCCGCAAGGGCACUCGAGCGGCGUAAGGGACAGUAAUGUGUAGGUAACGUACCCCUGGGUCUAGGAUAGCUGCGGGAAACUGCAAUUAAUACUAGAUAACGUCUCCGGACCAAAGGUGUGAUUCCACCUGGGAUGGGUCCGCGUCCUAUUAGCUAGUUGGCAGGGUAAUGGCCUACCAAGGCGAUGAUGGGUACGGGGUGUGAGAGCAUGACCCCGCUCACUGGGACUGAGACACUGCCCAGACACCUACGGGUGGCUGCAGUCGAGGAUCUUCGGCAAUGGGCGCAAGCCUGACCGAGCGACGCCGUGUGCGGGAUGAAGGCCUUCGGGUUGUAAACCGCUGUCAGAGGGGAGGAAGUACCGGGAAGUAAUACAUAAUCGACCCGGUUUGACCUAUCCUCAGAGGAAGUACGGGCUAAGUUCGUGCUAGCAGCCGCGGUAACAC